rnacentral:rRNA from 1 species
GACGAACGCUGCCGGCGUGCUUAACACAUGCAAGUCGAAUGGUAAGGCCUUCGGGUACACGAGUGGCGAACGGGUGAGUAACACGUGGGUGAUCUGCCCCCUACUCUGGGAUAAGCCUGGGAAACUGGGUCUAAUACCGGAUAUGACCUCCUUCUGCAUGGUUGGUGGUGGAAAGUUUUUUCGGUAGGGGAUGAGCCCGCGGCCUAUCAGCUUGUUGGUGGGGUAAUGGCCUACCAAGGCGACGACGGGUAGCCGGCCUGAGAGGGCGACCGGCCAGACUGGGACUGAGACACUGCCCAGACUCCUACGGGAUGCAGCAGUGGGGAAUGGUGCACCAUGGGCGAAAGCCUGAUGCAGCGACGCCGCGUGGGGGAUGACGGCCUUCGGGUUGUAAACCCCUUUCAGUCGGGACGAAGCGAGAGUGACGGUACCGAUAGAAGAAGCACCGGCCAACUACGUGCCAGCAGCCGCAGUAAAAC